rnacentral:misc_RNA from 1 species
AUGAUCAAAGUAAACCUGAUCUAUCCAAUAAUCCUUUGCUGUUGCCUGGCGGCUGUGCCGCAGGUGCGAGCAAAGCAUCUGCUCGAAUUUAUCGCCGAAAGUGCGAAUAAUGAAAUUGAAAAACAAGUCGAAACUUAUGAUUUUUCCUCCUGCCAAAUAUAUUGCUAUGGACCUCUGUUGCAUACGGUACAGAUGGCGAAACUGUUUCCCGACUCGAAGACCUUUGUAGACAUGAAACUGAAGGCUUCGCCUGAGAAGACAAUGGAGUUAUUUGAGGCAUUUAUGGCUUCCACGAAUAAUACACCCACUAACGAUCAGAUACGGAAAUUUGUUGAUGAUAAUUUUGGAGCAAAGGGCACCGAGCUGGAGGUGUGGACACCUACAGAUUGGGUCGAACAUCCAGCGUUUUUGGAUCUUGUGAACGAUCCGGAUCUGAAGCAAUGGGGCGUCGAUCUAAACAACAUCUGGAAGGAGCUCGGACGUAAGAUGAAGGACGAUGUGCACAAGAAUCCGGAAUAUUACUCCAUUAUACCCGUGCCCAAUCCGGUCAUUAUUCCCGGCGGCCGCUUUAUCGAGUUCUACUACUGGGACUCUUACUGGAUCAUUCGAGGCCUGUUGUACAGCGAGAUGAGGGAUACGGCCCGUGGCAUGAUCGAGAACUUCAUGUCGAUUGUACAGCGCAUUGGAUUCAUACCGAACGGUGGUCGCGUCUACUACUGGGGUCGCUCCCAGCCGCCGCUACUGGCGGGCAUGGUCAAGUCCUAUGUGGACUUCACCAAGGACGAUCGCUUUGCCAUCAAUGCACUGGAUGUGCUGGAGCAUGAAUUCGAAUACUUCAUCAACAAUCACAGCGUACAGGCCAAAGGCUAUAAUCUAGCUGUGUACAGGGACUCGUCGAAGGGACCCCGUCCCGAAUCCUACAGUGAGGACAUAGAGACAGCUGCUACCUUCAACACCGACGAGGAUAAGGAAAACCACUAUAGUGAGUUGAAGUCGGCUGCUGAAUCGGGCAUGGACUUCAGCUCCCGCUGGUACAUCAACGAGGAGGGCACAAAUGUUGGAAAUCUCUCAGUUACGAAGACCCGUUCCAUUGUUCCAGUCGACCUGAAUUCGAUUCUCUACUGGAACGCCAAAAUUAUUGCAGAAUUCCAUGCCAAGGCGGGCAACGUGGACAAGAUGACAGAGUAUGAGACCAAGGCGCAGAAAAUCAAGGAGGCUAUUCAGGCUGUCCUGUGGAACGAGGAGGCCGGCUGCUGGCUGGACUAUGAUUUGAUCAACGAGAAGCCACGCGACUACUUCGUGACCUCCAAUCUAGCCCCGUUGUGGGUCAAGGCUUACAAUAUUUCCGACACCGACAAGAUAUCCGCAUCGGUGCUGAACUAUAUUGAAAAGAACAAACUGGACACAUUCCCAGGCGGCAUACCAAACACGCUCUAUCAGACUGGAGAGCAGUGGGACUUCCCCAAUGUGUGGGCGCCUCUGCAGUAUAUUAUCAUCGAGGGUCUGGACAAUUUGGGCACUCCCGAUGCCAAGCAGCUGUCGAAGAGGUGGGGUCAUCGCUGGGUGAAAUCCAAUUUUGCAGCAUAUCGCGAUUCGCGUGCCAUGUUCGAAAAGUACGAUGCGGAAAAGUUUGGCGGACAUGGCGGCGGUGGUGAAUACGGCGUACAGAAGGGCUUUGGCUGGACCAAUGGCGUCAUCAUCGAGUGGCUAGCGAAAUACGGACACGAGAUUUCGCUGAGCAACACGGGCGCUGCAGUCGAUUCCUCAGCUUAUUAGGCGUAACAGCUGUGGCGUUAAUAGGUGCCUUUGCCGGUCAUCUCAUCUGGUGAGAUUCAGAGACAACUUUGUUUGCCCUAUGAAAAUGUGAUUCCCUCCUUCCCAGCAUUUUAGUGUGCAUGUGUGUGAGUGUGUGUGUGUGUGAGCGUAUGUAUGUGUUUCCAAUUAGACAAAAAGCGUUUUCAGCUUGUGUGCGCAGAUUGCAGUAUUAGAUAUAAACAAUAUACAAUUGACAUAUUUGUUAGAGAUGUGAUGUGAGUUGUACAUACAGAAUUCUAUAAUAACGGGCAUGCCCCACUUGUUGAGUUACCUUUAAUAUUAAACUUAAGCAACCAAUUGAAGACAAUAAUGGACACAAAUCAAUGUUAAUGCAUGGCAUUCGUUGACUACAUAUAUAUAUAUA